GACGAACGCUGGCGGCGUGCUUAACACAUGCCAGUCGACGGAAAGGCCCUGCUUUUGUGGGGUGCUCGAGUGGCGAACGGGUGAGUAACACGUGAGUAACCUGCCCUUGACUUUGGGAUAACUUCAGGAAACUGGGGCUAAUACCGGAUAGGAGCUCCUGCUGCAUGGUGGGGGUUGGAAAGUUUCGGCGGUUGGGGAUGGACUCGCGGCUUAUCAGCUUGUUGGUGGGGUAGUGGCUUACCAAGGCUUUGACGGGUAGCCGGCCUGAGAGGGUGACCGGCCACAUUGGGACUGAGAUACGGCCCAGACUCCUACGGGAGGCAGCAGUGGGGAAUAUUGCACAAUGGGCGGAAGCCUGAUGCAGCAACGCCGCGUGCGGGAUGACGGCCUUCGGGUUGUAAACCGCUUUCGCCUGUGACGAAGCGUGAGUGACGGUAAUGGGUAAAGAAGCACCGGCUAACUACGUG
rnacentral:rRNA from 1 species